UCUCCGUAGGUGAACCUGCGGAGGGAUCAUUACUGAGUGAGGGCUCACGCCCGACCUCCAACCCUUUGUGAACACAUCUUGUUGCUUCGGGGGCGACCCUGCCGGCACUCUGUCGCCGGGCGCCCCCGAAGAUCUCCAAACACUGCAUCUUUGCGUCGGAGUUUAAAACAAAUUAAACAAAUCUUUCAACAGCGGAUCUCUUGGUUCUGGCAUCGAUGAAAAACGCAUC
rnacentral:misc_RNA from 1 species